rnacentral:snRNA from 1 species
GCUUCUCAGUCUUUUGGCUAAGAGCAAGUGCAG